rnacentral:rRNA from 1 species
AACGAACGCUGGCGGCAGGCCUAACACAUGCAAGUCGAGCGAGGACUUCGGUCCUAGCGGCGGACGGGUGAGUAACGCGUGGGAACGUGCCCUUUGCUUCGGAAUAGCCCUGGGAAACUGGGAGUAAUACCGGAUGAGCCCUUUGGGGGAAAGAUUUAUCGGCGAAGGAUCGGCCCGCGUUGGAUUAGGUAGUUGGUGGGGUAAUGGCCUACCAAGCCGACGAUCCAUAGCUGGUUUGAGAGGAUGAUCAGCCACACUGGGACUGAGACACGGCCCAGACUCCUACGGGAGGCAGCAGUGGGGAAUCUUAGACAAUGGGGGAAACCCUGAUCUAGCCACGCCGCGUGAGCGAUGAAGGCCUUAGGGUUGUAAAGCUCUUUCAGCUGGGAAGAUAAUGACGGUACCAGCAGAAGAAGCCCCGGCUAACUCCGUG